CAGUGCCGCGGUAAUACAGAGGGUGCGAGCGUUAAUCGGAUUUACUGGGCGUAAAGCGUGCGUAGGCGGCUUUUUAAGUCGGAUGUGAAAUCCCUGAGCUUAACUUAGGAAUUGCAUUCGAUACUGGGAAGCUAGAGUAUGGGAGAGGAUGGUAGAAUUCCAGGUGUAGCGGUGAAAUGCGUAGAGAUCUGGAGGAAUACCGAUGGCGAAGGCAGCCAUCUGGCCUAAUACUGACGCUGAGGUACGAAAGCAUGGGGAGCAAACAGGAUUAGAUACCCGUGUAGUCCCUGUCUCUUAUACA
rnacentral:rRNA from 1 species